rnacentral:rRNA from 1 species
GCAGCAGGCGCGCAAAUUACCCACUCCCGGCACGGGGAGGUAGUGACGAAAAAUAACGAUACGGGACUCAUCCGAGGCCCCGUAAUCGGAAUGAGUACACUUUAAAUCCUUUAACGAGGAUCAAUUGGAGGGCAAGUCUGGUGCCAGCAGCCGCGGUAAUUCCAGCUCCAAUAGCGUAUAUUAAAGUUGUUGCGGUUAAAAAGCUCGUAGUCUGAUCUGUGUCCCACACUGUCGGUUCACUGCCCGUCAGUGUUUAACUGGCAUGUUGUGGGACGUCCUGCCGGUGGCGGUUCGGGGCCUUGGCGGGUCUAGGGCUUGCCCGAAGCUCGCCUUGCGCUUCCUCCGCCGAUUCAAUCCCGUCGCGGUGCUCUUUACUGAGUGUCGAGGCGGGCCGGCUCGUUUACUUUGAACAAAUUUGAGUGCUUAAAGCAGGCUGAAUUCUGCCUGAAAACUGUGUGCAUGGAAUAAUGGAAUAGGACCUCGGUUCUAUUUUGUUGGUUUUCGGAACCCGAGGUAAUGAUUAAUAGGGACAGGCGGGGGCAUUCGUAUUGCGACGUUAGACUUGGCAAAUGCUUUCGCGGUGAAAUUCUUGGAUCGUCGCAAGACGGACUUAAGCGAAAGCAUUUGCCAAGUAUGUUCUCGUUGAUCAAGAACGAAAGUUAGAGGUUCGAAGGCGAUCAGAUACCGCCCUAGUUCUAACCAUAAACGAUGCCAGCCAGCGAUCCGCCGAAGUUCCUCCGAUGACUCGGCGGGCAGCUUCCGGGAAACCAAAGCUUUUGGGUUCCGGGGGAAGUAUGGUUGCAAAGCUGAAACUUAAAGGAAUUGACGRAAGGGCACCACCAGGAGUGGAGCCUGCGGCUUAAUUUGACUCAACACGGGAAACCUCACCAGGCCC